AAUUUUCAACCCAAUACCCCAUCACAGACCCAAACCCAAUUUUUUACCCCAAUACCCCAACCAACCCUAGCCCACAAAGAACAAAACUUUUCAGCAAAAAAAAACCUAGCAUAGCCUCCAGCGCUGCACACCCCUGGUCAGCCUUCAGCGCCACCGCCGCUCAGCUCGCCAAUCACCGGCCUCCUGACACCUGCAAAGCACCCAUAGCACGUAAGCAGAGAAAACAAAGAGGAAAAUACAAAGCAGAAAACAACAAAGACGAACAAUCCAAAAUGCAAAACGACAAGAACAAUAGAUCUAAGAGUUUGAAAUCGGCUAUAAAGGCCAAAGCUGGUCAUUGUUUCGUUCUUCUUGGGUUUUCUUUGUAAAAAACGCGCAUCAGAAAUAAAUAACAGAAUGGAAGAUUUUUAGGUUAAACCUUCACUACUUCUUUUUUGUAUUUUUAUUUAUUAUUUUAUUUAUUUAUUUUACAACUUCAUUUUAACAAAAAAGGGGAUAACAUAGAAAGAAAAUAAAGGAGGAAGGGGCUUACCGAAGAUACCUCUCGACUGCGCUGUCGGUGAGUGGUUCUGUUGUUGACCCGAAUCCGAAAAGGGGGGCUAUGAGCCUCUGUCUUGGCACUCAUGGGGGUUCAAAGACUCAAAUUUUCAAGUCGCCCGAAAGCUGGGCUUUAAAAGCCCUUCGUCAUAGUUCGCCAGCCGUCGGUUUAGUGGCGGUGCGGUGGACAGAUGUGCGGCGGUGAGAAGUCCAACCGUCGGAGGGCAUGUGGAGGCUUUGAGAGGGUUGCUGCAGAUUUU
rnacentral:lncRNA from 1 species